AGGGGGGAUGCAUGAGCCACAAAAGUGAGGGAAACAAAAUCCUCUGUUGGAUCUAAGUCCAAAUAGGGGUUCACACGAUCUCCAGUCAGAAGAAAUUUCUCAGCUUUGCUGUGCUGGCUGAGUCAAAAUUGUCCUGCACCCCAAACAGCAUGAGCACUCUGCUUUGCUGAUGGACAGCUUCUCUGCACCAGAGCAGCCCUGGACUAAGGCUGGAUUUGAUCCCAGUCCCAUCCAUCAGGCAUUGCCGCUCCAGAGGGUGGGUCUCUGCGAGGUGGUGACUCAGGUGUGGUAGGUGGGAGGCAGGCGUGUUCCUGGGGUGGAUAUUUGCUGUCCAUAUCCUCCAGAGGCAGAGCGAAGGUGACCAGACAGUGAGGAGCCCUGCUCGGUCUCAGCUCAAGGCAGACCAGUGCUGGCAGGGCAGUAGACAAACAAACACAGCCCUCCUGACACAGCCCAUCCCUGCAGCACACGAGGGCAGGAGUGGGAAGGCUGCUGUGGGACAGUGCAUCCCUGAGGCCUUGGUCUAUGCCUGGCAGCGUGUGCUGGAAGCCAUCCCUCUCCUCCAGCUCUGAGCUCCAAAGGUUUGGCUGCAAAUGCAGCUGUCCUGGAGUGGGCCCUUUUUGCAGGGCCAGACCACUGUGGCUCAUCUUCUAACAGCCCCAGCCGGUGAGUGGCAGUGGUGAAUUAUCCUAGAGCAGCCACGGCUUCCCUAAAGGACACCUACGGAGCUCCUGAUGCAGCCCCUGCACCAGAAGGGAAACAGGCAGGGGAUGGCUGUCAGAGGUGGGUUAGCACCGAGACAGGAACGCAGAAGGGAACCUGACGUGGUUUCUUCCCACAGCUUUGGGAGGCAAAGGAAUUAUCCUCAAAACAGAGCUUGAAAAGAAGAUGUAUAAGUCCUCUCUGAUGGGCCUAAGACGCUGUCUGAAAUCCCUGCCGUGGGCUGAAUUAUCUUUAGAGCCCUGCGGUUCUGUGUGGAGCAAUUAAAAGUGGAUCCCGCGUCCCUGCAGGAUCACCCAGCAGCUAUUUUCAGCAAGGCUACAUUCACGCACGGUUUCUUUGUUCAAGGAGACCGUUUCCUAAAGAAGCCUGAAAUGUGGAGGUUGGAGAUAAGGCUGAAAAAUAAAAAUACGGCUGGUGGGUCAAAAGGGCGAGGAAAAGGAAGACCCUGCUCCAAGGAUGGCAUUGGGUUUUGAGCAGCCCCAAAGCCACCCACCAGCACAGUCCUGCCUGUGUCAGUGAACCUGCCCUGCCUUGCCCCAGCUGGGCAUCUGCCCUGGGCCCAUUCCCCAGGGAAAAGUUUCCCCCAAGGUCUCCACUGGAGAUCAGCAGCCCAGAGGAGACCUUGGCUGAACCGGGUGACAGCAGCCAAGGUGUCCCUGCAAGGCACUGCUCCCACGCACACCA